CCUGCCCCUAGAGGCAUUGCAGGUGUGGCUGCUAUGUCACAUGUGAGCCAGUAGGGGGCAGAGAGGAGUAAGGCUAUGUCAUUGCUCAGCGUUUUGGCCUCAGAACAUCUGAAUGAAUAGUAGCCUAACACC